rnacentral:rRNA from 1 species
UACGUAGGGGGCGAGCGUUAUCCAGAUUUACUGGGCGUAAAGCGCGUGUAGGCGGCUGGUUAGGUGUGAUGUGAAAUCCUCGGGCUCAACCCGAGAACUGCAUUGCAAACCGGCCUGGCUAGAGUGCAGGAGAGGGAAGCGGAAUUCCAGGUGUAGCGGUGAAAUGCGUAGAUAUCAGGAGGAACACCGGUGGCGAAGGCGCACAUCUGGCCCGAUACUGACGCUGAGGCGCGAAAGCUAGGGGAGCAAACGGG